rnacentral:rRNA from 1 species
UGCAAGUCGAGCGGCAGCACGGGGAGCUUGCUCCCUGGUGGCGAGCGGCGGACGGGUGAGUAAUGCAUAGGAAUCUGCCCGGUAGUGGGGGAUAACCUGGGGAAACCCAGGCUAAUACCGCAUACGUCCUACGGGAGAAAGCAGGGGAUCUUCGGACCUUGCGCUAUCGGAUGAGCCUAUGUCGGAUUAGCUGGUUGGUGAGGUAAUGGCUCACCAAGGCGACGAUCCGUAGCUGGUCUGAGAGGAUGAUCAGCCACACUGGGACUGAGACACGGCCCAGACUCCUACGGGAGGCAGCAGUGGGGAAUAUUGGACAAUGGGCGCAAGCCUGAUCCAGCCAUGCCGCGUGUGUGAAGAAGGCCCUCGGGUUGUAAAGCACUUUCAGCGAGGAAGAAGGCUUGGCGGUCAAUACCCGUCAAGAAGGACAUCACUCGCAGAAGAAGCACCGGCUAACUCCGUGCCAGCAGCCGCGGUAAUACGGAGGGUGCGAGCGUUAAUCGGAAUUACUGGGCGUAAAGCGCGCGUAGGUGGUUUGGCACGCCGGUUGUGAAAGCCCCGGGCUCAACCUGGGAACGGCAUCCGGAACGGCCAGACUAGAGUGCAGGAGAGGAAGGUAGAAUUCCCGGUGUAGCGGUGAAAUGCGUAGAGAUCGGGAGGAAUACCAGUGGCGAAGGCGGCCUUCUGGCCUGACACUGACACUGAGGUGCGAAAGCGUGGGUAGCAAACAGGAUUAGAUACCCUGGUAGUCCACGCCGUAAACGAUGUCGACUAGCCGUUGGGACCUUUAAGGACUUAGUGGCGCAGUUAACGCGAUAAGUCGACCGCCUGGGGAGUACGGCCGCAAGGUUAAAACUCAAAUGAAUUGACGGGGGCCCGCACAAGCGGUGGAGCAUGUGGUUUAAUUCGAUGCAACGCGAAGAACCUUACCUACCCUUGACAUCCAGAGAACUUGGCAGAGAUGCCUUGGUGCCUUCGGGAACUCUGAGACAGGUGCUGCAUGGCUGUCGUCAGCUCGUGUUGUGAAAUGUUGGGUUAAGUCCCGUAACGAGCGCAACCCUUGUCCCUAUUUGCCAGCGAUUCGGUCGGGAACUCUAGGGAGACUGCCGGUGACAAACCGGAGGAAGGUGGGGACGACGUCAAGUC